GCGAGCGGCGGAUGGGUGAGUAACACGUGGGGAACCUGCCCCUAAGUCUGGGAUACCAUUUGGAAACAGGUGCUAAUACCGGAUAAUAAAGCAGAUCGCAUGAUCAGCUUUUGAAAGGCGGCGUAAGCUGUCGCUAAGGGAUGGCCCCGCGGUGCAUUAGCUAGUUGGUAAGGUAACGGCUUACCAAGGCGACGAUGCAUAGCCGAGUUGAGAGACUGAUCGGCCACAUUGGGACUGAGACACGGCCCAAACUCCUACGGGAGGCAGCAGUAGGGAAUCUUCCACAAUGGACGCAAGUCUGAUGGAGCAACGCCGCGUGAGUGAAGAAGGUUUUCGGAUCGUAAAGCUCUGUUGUUGGUGAAGAAGGAUAGAGGUAGUAACUGGCCUUUAUUUGACGGUAAUCAACCAGAAAGUCACGGCUAACUACGUGCCAGCAGCCGCGGUAAUACGUAGGUGGCAAGCGUUGUCCGGAUUUAUUGGGCGUAAAGCGAGCGCAGGCGGAAAAAUAAGUCUAAUGUGAAAGCCCUCGGCUUAACCGAGGAACUGCAUCGGAAACUGUUUUUCUUGAGUGCAGAAGAGGAGAGUGGAACUCCAUGUGUAGCGGUGGAAUGCGUAGAUAUAUGGAAGAACACCAGUGGCGAAGGCGGCUCUCUGGUCUGCAACUGACGCUGAGGCUCGAAAGCAUGGGUAGCGAACAGGAUUAGAUACCCUGGUAGUCCAUGCCGUAAAACGAUGAGUGCUAAAGUGUUGGGAGGUUUCCGCCUCUCAGU
rnacentral:rRNA from 1 species